AACGCACAUUGCGCCCAUCAGUACUCUGGUGGGCAUGCCUGUUCGAGCGUCAUUUCAACCCUCAGGCCCUGUACUGCCUGGCGUUGGGGCUUCUGCGAGCAUUCUCCUCCAAGAACUCUCGCAGGCCCCCAAGAUCAGUGGCGGGCCCGCCGCGGCUCCGAGCGUAGUAGUUUACUUUCUCGCUUGGGAGGCUCGGCGGUGCCCAGCCGUCAAAAAACACCACUGUAAUUUUACAAGGUUGACCUCGGAUCAGGUAGGAAUACCCGCUGAACUUAA
rnacentral:misc_RNA from 1 species